AGAGUUUGAUCCUGGCUCAGGAUGAACGCUAGCGGCAGGCUUAAUACAUGCAAGUCGAGGGGCAGCAUGGUGUAGCAAUACACUGAUGGCGACCGGCAAACGGGUGCGGAACACGUACGCAACUUACCCAAAACUGAGGAAUAGCCCGGGGAAACCCGGAUUAAUACCUCGUAAUAUAAUUGAAUGGCAUCAUUUGAUUAUUAUAGCUCCGGCGGUUUUGGAUGGGCGUGCGCCUGAUUAGGUAGUUGGCGGGGUAACGGCCCACCAAGCCUACGAUCAGUAACUGGUGUGAGAGCACAACCAGUCACACGGGCACUGAGACACGGGCCCGACUCCUACGGGAGGCAGCAGUAAGGAAUAUUGGUCAAUGGACGCAAGUCUGAACCAGCCAUGCCGCGUGAAGGAUGAAGGUCCUCUGGAUUGUAAACUUCUUUUAUAUGGGAAGAAAUCCAUCUUUUCUUGGGUGGUUGACGGUACCAUAGGAAUAAGCACCGGCUAACUCCGUGCCAGCCGCCGCGGUAAUAC
rnacentral:rRNA from 1 species